rnacentral:lncRNA from 1 species
AGCUUUUCCUGGAUUCUCUUCUCAAUGACAAGCUGUUCAAACAGAGAACACCUAUCAAAACGAAUAUCAUCAUCUGCUCCUUUCUUUCUUCCUUUCAGGAUAUACUGCUGUCCAGCAGGGGAAGUAAUUAAUGAGUUUUUUAUGUAUGGCAGCGUCAUCCCAUCAGUUUGCUGUCUGGUUUGAAUAGCUCCUAUCAGCUCUUCAUUCAUGCCAAGUACGCUCACCGUCCAGAGACAUGAUAAAGCCGUACUUCCUUCUGGAUUUUUACCUCACUAUUCAAAAAACAGGGUACCAGAAGCAUGGGUUACAAAAGCAUGAGGAGGACAGAAGAAAUGCCUUCAUCUUCUACAGAAAGGAAGCUGAUGGACUGAAAAGUUCGUAUGGAGAAAGGAAAGCAAGAGUGCAAGAACAUCCAUGCUUCUAGUCCAGAUAAUGUUUUUUAAAGCAGCUUGAUUUGGAAGCGUGUGUAAUUCUGAAAUACGAACAAGCAGAACUUUUCCAGGGGGUCAAAUGCAUAUAGGAACAACCAGGAUUUCUCAUUGCUGAAGCAUUCAAUGAAUCUUUAAUAAGUUCUCAACACUCAGAUUGUUUGUGAUCAGAUCAACUGCUGUUACCAGAUAAAGGCAAAACUCACCCUUCUGGUUCUAUAAUCCUAUCCAAAUGGAGUCUUCAUCUACCGCAUACUAUCCUAACUAAUGCUACAGGAUUAUCAGGAAUACAGAUAUAAAGACACUGCAAGAAAUAAAACACUGGCAAAAUAAAACAUGAAAGGAAAGUAGAGAAGGCAUUUUGGGUCUCGAAGCUUACUAUUUCCAGCCAGAGUUCAAAUUACUGAGCUUCAAACAAACCACUGCCAGGGUGAAAAAAAAAUUGAAAACUGCUUCAAGUUUACAUCUCAUGGGUACAAAUGGAUGAGGGAUUUUAUGCUAGUACCUGAAGAUUUGGUUUAUUUAUAACAACUUUUCCCUGUUAUUGAUAGAUUUAACAAUUAAAGAGAUUCUGAACAGUC